rnacentral:rRNA from 1 species
UAGUGAGUUUGAUCCUGGCUCAGAACGAACGCUGGCGGCAUGCCUAACACAUGCAAGUCGAACGAGACCUUCGGGUCUAGUGGCGCACGGGUGCGUAACGCGUGGGAACCUGCCUUUAGGUUCGGAAUAACAGUGAGAAAUUACUGCUAAUACCGGAUAAUGUCUUCGGACCAAAGAUUUAUCGCCUUUGGAUGGGCCCGCGUAAGAUUAGGUAGUUGGUGGGGUAAAGGCCUACCAAGCCGACGAUCUUUAGCUGGUCUGAGAGGAUGAUCAGCCACACUGGGACUGAGACACGGCCCAGACUCCUACGGGAGGCAGCAGUGGGGAAUAUGGACAAUGGGCGAAAGCCUGAUCCAGCAAUGCCGCGUGAGUGAUGAAGGCCCUU